rnacentral:rRNA from 1 species
AGGACGAACGCUGGCGGCGUGCUUAACACAUGCAAGUCGAACGCUGUCCAUUCGGUGGCAACACCGAUGAAGACGGAGUGGCGAACGGGUGAGUAGCACGUGAGCAACCUGCCCCGAAGACCGGGACAACACCGGGAAACCGGUGCUAAUACCGGAUACCCCCGACGGACCGCAUGGUCCUUUGAGGAAAUGGAUUCCGCUUCGGGAGGGGCUCGCGGCCUAUCAGCUUGUUGGUGAGGUAACGGCCCACCAAGGCUUCGACGGGUAGCUGGUCUGAGAGGACGAUCAGCCACACUGGGACUGAGACACGGCCCAGACUCCUACGGGAGGCAGCAGUGGGGAAUCUUGCGCAAUGGGCGAAAGCCUGACGCAGCAACGCCGCGUGGGGACGAAUGCUUUCUGAGUUGUAAACCCCUUUCAGCAGGGACGAUUGUGACGGUACCUGCAGAAGAAGCACCGGCAACUACGUGCCAGCAGCCGCGGU